rnacentral:rRNA from 1 species
UGAAAGCCCGGGGCUCAACCUCGGAACUGCAAUUGAAACUACGAGACUAGAGUAUAAUUGGAGAUGGCAGAAUUUCUAGUGUAGGGGUGAAAUCCGUAGAUAUUAGAAGGAAUACCAGUGGUGAAGACGGCUAUCUUGGUUUUAACUAACGCUAAGGUACGAAGGUGUGGGUAGCGAACGGGAUUAGAUACCCCGGUAGUCCACACAGUAAACGAUGAAUACUAAGUGUUCGGACUUUAGAUCUGAGUGCUAAAGCUAACGCGUUAAGUAUUCCGCCUGGGGAUUACGGUCGCAAGACUAAAACUCAAAGGAAUUGACGGGGACCCGCACAAGCGGUGGAACAUGUGGUUUAAUUCGAUGCUACGCGAAAAACCUUACCAGCUUUUGACAUCCCGAUUCCGGAGAAUAGAGAUAUUUUCCAUCAGUUCGGCUGGAUCGGAGACAGGUGUUGCAUGGCUGUUGUCAGCUCGUGCCGUGAGGUGUUAGGUUAAGUCCUUUAACGAGCGCAACCCUCAUUCUUAUUUGCCAUCGGGUAAUGCCGGGAACUAUAAGAAAACUGCCAGUGAUAAAUUGGAGGAAGGUGGGGACGACUUCAAGUCAUCAUGGCCCUUAUAAGCUGGGCUACACACAUGUUACAAUGGGAGUUACAAAAGGUCGUGAAAAAGUAAUUUGGAACCAAUCCUUAAAAGCUCUCUCAGUUCAGAUUGUAGGCUGCAACUCGCCUGCAUGAAGUCGGAAUCGCUAGUAAUCGUGGAUCAGCACGCCACGGUGA